rnacentral:rRNA from 1 species
UACGGGGGGAGCAAGCGUUGUUCGGAUUUACUGGGCGUAAAGGGCGCGUAGGCGGCCACCGCAAGUCGACUGUGAAAUCUCCGGGCUUAACCCGGAAAGGUCAGCCGAUACUGCGGGGCUAGAGUGCAGAAGGGGCAACUGGAAUUCUCGGUGUAGCGGUGAAAUGCGUAGAUAUUGGGUGGAACACCGGUGGCGAAAGCGGCUCUCUGGUCCGGACCUGACGCUGAGGCGCGAAAGCGUGGGGAGCAAACAGG